rnacentral:rRNA from 1 species
GACUGACUGGCUCGAUACUGACACUGAGGUGCGAAAGCGUGGGGAGCAAACGGGAUUAGAUACCCCGGUAGUCCACGCCGUAAACGAUGUCUACUAGCCGUUGGAGGACUUGAUCCUUUAGUGGCGCAGCUAACGCGAUAAGUAGACCGCCUGGGGAGUACGGUCGCAAGAUUAAAACUCAAAUGAAUUGACGGGGGCCCGCACAAGCGGUGGAGCAUGUGGUUUAAUUCGAAGCAACGCGAAGAACCUUACCUACUCUUGACAUCCAGUGAACUUUUGAGAGAUCAAUUGGUGCCUUCGGGAACACUGAGACAGGUGCUGCAUGGCUGUCGUCAGCUCGUGUUGUGAAAUGUUGGGUUAAGUCCCGUAACGAGCGCAACCCUUGUCCUUAGUUACCAUCAUUAAGUUGGGGACUCUAAGGAGACUGCCGGUGACAAACCGGAGGAAGGCGGGGACGACGUCAAGUCAUCAUGGCCCUUACGAGUAGGGCUACACACGUGCUACAAUGGCAUGUACAAAGGGUUGCCAAGCCGCGAGGUGGAGCUAAUCCCAUAAAGCAUGUCGUAGUCCGGAUUGGAGUCUGCAACUCGACUCCAUGAAGUCGGAAUCGCUAGUAAUCGUGAAUCAGAAUGUCACGGUGAAUACGUUCCCGGGCCUUGUACACACCGCCCGUCACACCAUGGGAGUGGGUUGCUCCAGAAGUAGAUAGCUUAACCCUCGGGAGGGCGUUUACCACGGAGUGAUUCAUGACUGGGGUGAAGUCGUAACAAGGUAGCCGUA